GGUAACCUGCCCUGUACAGGGGGAUAACAGUCAGAAAUGACUGCUAAUACCGCAUAAGACCACAGCACCGCAUGGUGCAGGGGUAAAAACUCCGGUGGUACAGGAUGGACCCGCGUCUGAUUAGCUGGUUGGUGAGGUAACGGCUCACCAAGGCGACGAUCAGUAGCCGGCUUGAGAGAGUGAACGGCCACAUUGGGACUGAGACACGGCCCAAACUCCUACGGGAGGCAGCAGUGGGGAAUAUUGCACAAUGGGGGAAACCCUGAUGCAGCGACGCCGCGUGAGUGAAGAAGUAUCUCGGUAUGUAAAGCUCUAUCAGCAGGGAAGAAAAUGACGGUACCUGACUAAGAAGCCCCGGCUAACUACGUGCCAGCAGCCGCGGUAAUACGUAGGGGGCAAGCGUUAUCCGGAAUUACUGGGUGUAAAGGGUGCGUAGGUGGUAUGGCAAGUCAGAAGUGAAAACCCAGGGCUUAACUCUGGGACUGCUUUUGAAACUGUCAGACUGGAGUGCAGGAGAGGUAAGCGGAAUUCCUAGUGUAGCGGUGAAAUGCGUAGAUAUUAGGAGGAACAUCAGUGGCGAAGGCGGCUUAC
rnacentral:rRNA from 1 species